GGAGCUCUCCAAAACACCUCUGCUGUGUGCAUGCCACUUUGAGAAGGUGAAGCUGCAGCCCCAGAGGUUCUGGAGGGAUUUUUCUGGGUGAGUUUAAGCCCCAAACUGAUCCCAAGAAUUGAGACCUUGGUGUUUGCUCGAAGCCUGGCUGGGGGCUGAAGGAGAUGUUGCCAGUCCCUGGCACAGAUGAUGGUGAUGGCUGAUGGGCUGAUGGUUGAAUUGGUGUCGAGGUCGGCUCUGCUCCAGCACCAGCGCCUGCCCUAAGGUGGAGCUGCUUCUCUUUCAGCGUCGUGGCUGCCCAGAGAACGCUGGAUCCAGUCUGGUCACCCAAACACUGCCUGCCUGCAGCUUCUGAGCAGGGCUCAGACAAAAGAAAGCCCAUCCAAACUGUGGGUUGAUGUUUGUUUUCCACGCUCCACCAUUGAAAUUCCAUGCCAAAGAUUUACAAGUCCCUGGAGGGGAGCAGGGACUUCAGCCGAGAGCCCGGUGUUUUGCCAUCUCUGCUGUGCGCUGGAGUGAGCCGGGGCAGCUGCCGGAGGACGCUGGAGGCAUUGUGCUGCUGGACAGGUUUGAAGGCUGGUGUUAAUGAACUGUUGUUAAUGGGCUGGUGUUAAUGGGCACCCUGAUGGUGAGAAGUCAGCACUGGAGCCGCCGUGCAGGGGCUGGAGCUGGGGGUUCUUCCACGUGGCUGUCACGGAGAGUGAAGAGUCAAGCUGCAGUAACUCCCCGCUGCAGACGAGAUCCUGAACCGCAUCGCUUUAAUUACGCCAGCGCAAAUUUCAUUCAUUUGGUUAAGCCUGGGAGCUACAGAAAGAGCUAUUUCCAGGUGUGCUGGUUUAAUUAUUGCUUGCCCUGGAUUACCCACCGUGCGCAGCUGCAUGGACGGGCUUUGCCCGGCUCUCCGGCAGACCCGGACAAGUUCGCAGCCAUCGGCACGGCAAUGGCCCCACUCACUCACAUCCCAGCACACGGGCUCUGCUUGGGUCAGAUAAAUGGGUUUUAACCUGAUUUGUGCUGUAAUCUCCAUGUCGACAGGCUCUCAUCACGCACAGGAUAAAACCCCGGCUCCUGUGGCCGGGGCUUUCACCGGGCAGCUCCUGCCAGCAAGGCUGGCCGAUGGCUCCGAGCCAAGUGGCUUCCCUGUUCUGGCAUCCCAGGGACACCUCUGAACCGUGGGUGUUUGCAAAACGGCUUUUGUUUGCUUAACUCCUUGCACUGGCGCAGGCAGAGGCACAGCUCCCACUGUCCUGUCCCUCCUCCGCAGGCAGGAGCAGGGUGACAAUCCUGCUGCCCAGGGCAGGCAGCUCAGUGCCAGCCCUGCCAUCCCACCCCUGGAAAAAAUAGCACCUUUUGGGUGCAUUAUUUGUACUUUCCUUUUCUGAACGUGCCUUAAAAAGAAGGGCUUGGUUUUCA